rnacentral:rRNA from 1 species
CACGUAGGGCGCAAGCGUUGUCCGGAAUUAUUGGGCGUAAAGAGCUCGUAGGCGGUCUGUUACGUCCGCUGUGAAAACCCGGGGCUUAACCCUGGGCUUGCAGUGGAUACGGGUAGACUAGAGGCAGGUAGGGGAGAAUGGAAUUCCCGGUGUAGCGGUGAAAUGCGCAGAUAUCGGGAAGAACACCAAUGGCGAAAGCAGCUUUCUGGGACGGUACUGACGCUGAGACGCGAAAGCGUGGGGAGCGAACAGG